AGCAGUUCAUUGCUUUCUUGAAGAUUUUCUUGUUUUACAACUAAAAGGGAGAGGUAGUGGACUCCACGUCUUCAUCAUUGGUGUUAAUCCUCUUAUGCUUAGUGUGAACUUAUUAGUGUUUUUUUUCUCCCUCCUUCUCUCUCUUCCUCUAAGCCUUAUUUCUCCACCUGGGUGUAUGUACUUCACUGGAUUUCCCCAUUAUGCUCCAGGAACCUCAUCAUCCUGUAAGAUCACUUCAGCUCUAGAACUCUCACCUUAUCAGGCAUGAAUAAAUAGAGCUUACACGUGCGACAAAGAUAAGACGGGCGCUGUCUGCGUAUUUUAUCCCUACUGGAGAAAACCUCAGAUUUUCUUUUUCUUCAUCCUGCUGGGAAAUGUUCUGGGGACUUCUCCUUUGGAGUUUGUCUUUGGGGACUCUGCAUCAGUGAACUGGACUGAAGGAGGAAACUCCCUGGAUCCUGCAUUGACUUGCUGGGUGAGUAUCUGGCCUUCCUUUCCUGGCUUUGAGAGAUUGGUUCCAGAGAGGCUUUCCUUUCCUGGAGGAGGCAUAUUUAGUAUAAAGCCUAAAUUUAAAUUCUUACAGAUGGCAAAAAAAUUGGAAAAUGAAGGAUGUCCCUCCAUUGGGGAAUGGCUGAGCAAAUUGUGGUAUCUGAUGGGGAUGGACUAUCAUUGUGCUGAAAGGAAUGAUGAACUAGAGGGAUUCCAUGUGAACUGGGAGAACUGAUGCAGAGUGAAAGGAGCAGAACCAGGAGAGCAUUGUACUCAGAGAGUAAAACAUUGUGGAACAAUCCAAUAUAAUGGCCUUUGCUACUAGUAGCAAUGCAACAAUCCAGGACACUCCUGAAGUGCUUAUGGGAAAAUAUUCUAACCACAUUAAGACAAAGAACUAUGGGAGUAGAAAUGCAAAAGAAGAACAUAUGAUUUCACACACAUGUAUGUAUAUAUGUAUAUGUGUGUAUGUGUUUUGGGGUUUAGGCUUUUAAAAAUUGCUCUAUAGCACAAAUGAAUAAUAUGGAAAUAGGCAUCAAGUGAUAACAUUUGCACAACCCAGUGGAAUUUCUUGUCUGCUAUGGGAUGGGAAUGGGGAGAGGGGAAAGAAAGUAAACAGAUUAUGUAAACAUGGAAAAAUAUUUAAA
rnacentral:lncRNA from 1 species